CCUUGGUUGAUCCCGCCGGACCUGACUGCUAUCGGAUUGGUACUAAGCCAUGCGAGUCAUUGUAGCAAUACAAGGCGGACGGCUCAGUAACGCGUAGUCAACCUAACUCGUGGACGUGGAUAACCUCGGGAAACUGAGAAUAAACCACGAUAGAUCAUAGUGCCUGGAAUGGCUUAUGGUCCAAACAGUUUACUGCCAUGGGAUGGGACUGCGGCCUAUCAGCUUGUUGGUGAGGUAAUGGCCCACCAAGGCGAUUACAGGUACGGGCUCUGAGAGGAGAAGCCCGGAGAUGGGUACUGAGACACGGACCCAGGCCCUAUGGGGCGCAGCAGGCGAGAAACCUUAGCAAUGUGCGAAAGCACGACUGGGUCAGUCCGAGUGAUUCCUGAUAAAGGAGUCUUUUGCUUGUCCUAAAAGCACAGGUGAAUAAGGGGUGGGCAAGUCUGGUGUCAGCCGCCGCGGUAAUACCAGCACCUCGAGUGGUCAGGACGUUUAUUGGGCCUAAAGCAUCCGUAGCCGGCUCUGCAAGUCUUCGGUUAAAUCCACCUGCUCAACAGAUGGGCUGCUGGAGAUACUACAGAGCUAGGGAGUGGGAGAGGCAGACGGUAUUCAGUGGGUAGGGGUAAAAUCCUCUGAUCCACUGAGGACCACCAGUGGCGAAGGCGGUCUGCCAGAACACGUUCGACGGUGAGGGAUGAAAGCUGGGGGAGCAAACCGGAUUAGAUACCCGGGUAGUCCCAGCUGUAAACGAUGCAAACUCGGUGAUGCAUUGGCUUAUGGCCAAUGCAGUGCCGCAGGGAAGCCGUUAAGUUUGCCGCCUGGGAAGUACGGACGCAAGUCUGAAACUUAAAGGAAUUGGCGGGGGAGCA
rnacentral:rRNA from 1 species